AUUGAACGCUGGCGGCAGGCCUAACACAUGCAAGUCGAACGCGUGGCGGACGGGUGUGUAAUGUCUGUAAACCUGCCUGAUGGAGGGGGAUAACUACUGGAAACGGUAGCUAUUACCGCAUACCAUCGCAUGUGCCCAGAUGGGGUUCGCUAGUAGGUGGGGUAAAGGCUCACCUAGGCGACGAUCCCUAGCUGGUCUGAGAGGAGGACAAGGUACACUGGAACUGAGACACGGUCCAGACUCCUAUGGGAGGGAGGAGUGGGGAGUAGGUGACAAUGGGCGGAAGCUUGAUGCAGCCAUGCCGCGUAGAGGAAGAAGGCCUGCGGGUUUUGAAGUACUUUCAGCGGGGAGGCUGUACCCGCAGAAGAAGCACCGGCUAACUCCGUGCCAGCAGCCGCGGUAAUAC
rnacentral:rRNA from 1 species